rnacentral:rRNA from 1 species
AGUGGCGAAUGGGUGAGUAACACGUAGGCGAACUGCCCCAAAGUGGGGAAUAACAGCUCGAAAGGGCUGCUAAUACCGCAUGUGGUCUUUUAGAGUAAAGCAGCGCUUUGGGAGGGGCCUGCGGCCCAUCAGGUAGUUGGUGGGGUAACGGCCUACCAAGCCGAUGACGGGUAGGGGGCCUGAGAGGGUGGUCCCCCACACUGGCACUGAAACACGGGCCAGACACCUACGGGUGGCAGCAGUAGGGAAUAUUGCACAAUGGGCGAAAGCCUGAUGCAGCAACGCCGCGUGCGCGAUGAAGGCCUUCGGGUCGUAAAGCGCUUUUCGGGGGGAUGAGGGACAGUACCCCCGGAAUAAGUCUCGGCUAACUACGUGCCAGCAGCCGCGGUAAAACGUAGGAGGCGAGCGUUAUCCGGAUUUACUGGGCGUAAGCGCGUGCAGGCGGCUGGUAAGUCGGGCGUGAAAUCUCUCGGC